rnacentral:rRNA from 1 species
UACAUGUGGGGCGAGCGUUGUUCGGAAUUACUGGGCAUAAAGGGUGCGUAGGCGGCAUGCCAAGUCGCUGGUGAAAGUUCGCGGCCCAACCGCGAAAUGGCCGGUGAUACUGGCGUGCUUGAGUGCGUGAGGGGUCGGGGGAACGAGUGGUGUAGCGGUGAAAUGCGUAGAUAUCGCUUGGAACGCCGACGGUGAAAACAGCUCGCUGGGGGUGUGCUGACGCUGAGACACGAAAGCCAGGGGAGCGAACGGG